rnacentral:rRNA from 1 species
GACGAACGCUGGCGGCGUGCCUAAUACAUGCAAGUCGAACGCAGUGGGGACGGGUGAGUAACACGUGGGUAACCUCCCAUCAGAGGGGAUAACACUUGGAAACAGGUGCUAAACCGAUACUGAUGGAUGGACCCGCGGUGCAUUAGCUAGUUGGUGAGGUAACGGCUCACCAAGGCCACGAUGCAUAGCCGACCGGUGAGGGGUAUCGGCCACAAUGGGAAUGAGACACGGGCCAGGCCCCCACGGGAGGGAGCAGUAGGGAAUCUUCCGCAAUGGGCGAAAGGCUGACCGAGCAACGCCGCGGGAGUGAAAAAGGGUUUCGGAUCGGAAAACUCUGGUGUUAGGGAAGCGGUAUCUAACCAGAAAGCCACGGCUAACUACGUGCCAGCAGCCGCGGUAAUAC